UCCUCUCUCUACCUUCUCUCUCCAAUUUCUCUCUCAAGAUUCUCACUCUAGACCUUUUUUUCUCUCUUUAUAGAUUUUAUCUCUCUAAGAUCUUUCUACUCUCUCUUUGAUUGCAUCACAGACCCUAGGAUAAAUUUGAAAUAAAAAUAUGAUGAUUUGAGAUUGCUCCAAAAUUCGUGCGGUAGAUCUGAUCCUAGUCCGAUCCUAUUCGAAAUUUGUAACACUUGAUUCAUAUUGAGUCACCCUGAUAGGACCUUUGAUGAUCUCGACCAUGAUUGCCUCAUCUGAAGGAUACGA
rnacentral:lncRNA from 1 species